AGAGAGAGAGAGGAAGGAGAAGGAGGAAGGGAGAGAGGGAGAGAGAUAGAUAGAGACGAAGAAACAGAGAGGGAGUGUGUAUGUAAGAGAGAAAGAGAGUGAGAGAGAGAGAGAGAUCGUGUGGCCACUGUCACGAAAAAUCACGAAUGCGUUUCUUGCUUUCUCUCUCUCUUUUUUUCUUUUUCCAAACUCCUCGUUUUUCUUUAAUUUUUAAUCGGAGAUCACUUUGAAAUAAAACACUUUUUCUUUUCGAGCGAAUAACUUGUGAAAAGAAGUAAUAAUAGUAGUAGUAGAGUAAUAGUAAUAGUAAUAGUAGUAGUAGUAGUAGUAAUAGUGUAGUAGAAGAAGAAGAAGAAGACGAUGAAGAAGAAUAAGAGGUGAAGGUGGAGGUGGUGGUAAUGUUGGUGGUGGUGGUGGUGGUGGCGGAGGAAGAGAAGAAGAAGAAGAAGAAGAAGAAGGAAGGUAAAGGACGUCCUUUCGGGAUAAGGAAUCCUGGUUAUACAAGCCGUGUCUUGCUUCUUCUAUCGGCUGGUAGACUGGUCGUAGCAGGUCGGUUGGAGAAGGACGAGGUCGGGGUAUAGGGAAAGAGAAGGCACACAGAUAUACCACUGUGUGCGUUUAAUACUCUUGAAAGAGAAGAGAGAGAGAGAGAGAGAGGGAAAGAAAAAGAGAAACGAGAGAAACGAGAAAGCACGAUAUGCGGGAUAUGCCGGAGGAGAAGAGAAAAGAAGAGAAAAGAAAAAGAGAAAGGGUGGGGGGUGAGAGUGAGAGAGAGCAACACCGGUUUUGCUUGCUUCAACUUGUCCGUAGUUGGCAAGACUGCAGAUAGAGGUCGGUACCUUCGAAAUAGCUUUCUUCUUUGUCGUCGUCGUCGUCGUCGUCGUCGUGCUCGUCGUUCUCGUCGUAUAAAUAUCUCAACGUAUUAUACCUCGAAGGAAAAUCCAUUUGGAAUACAUAGAGAGGUUUGUUUCUUGGGAUACGGCAUGGAAUGCAUACGCGCCGAUCCUUCCAAAGUGAUGAUUCACGCGGUCUCUCUCGUCAGAACGGUAGAAAGGGAGAAUGGGGAAACUACAAGAGAGUGGGCCGUUUAAAUCACGUUGAAACAACUAAAAGGGACGGACGAGGAUGGAGAAUAUUGAAAAUUUUUCACGACAUAGAGAAAACCAUUGAACACCUGAUGAGGAAAAAGGAAAGAAGUGUCCUUAGAAGGUCGAUGCGUGGGUAUUUUAGAUGAACUCAGAUCUUUUCGCAGGUAGUUUUUAUUGUAAGCCGUUCGCAGGUAAACGAAUUUAUUGCAGCAGGUAGUUCUUCCUCUCCUGUUGCAGGUAAAAUGAUCUAAGGUAACACGAGAAGCUUUGCUUGGAGAUUCUCCUUUUUCAAUAUGGCUUCUUUUAGACCUAUGCGAUUCUUUUGUUUUUUUAAUCUUUCAUCUACCAUGGACAGAAAGUCUAGUAGAGUAAGCAUAGAUAAGUAGAAUGACAAUUUUUAUUAUUAUUGUUUUUAUUAAAUGUCUCUUUGUCUAAAAUAUCAAUAUAUAAAAAAGUUCUCUAUUUCCUUGUCUGAGAGUAAUAUGGGUAAUAUAAAAAUUCUAAAUUGUAUCAUUAAUUUUUUUUAUUUAUUAUUUUAUAAAAUAAGGAAAAACAAUCCAUAGCUUACUCGAUAAGGGACGGGUUUGGAAGGGCUAUGACUUAGGGGAUUUAGAAAGUUCCUUGAAGAAUUCAGACUGGACGUGGUUAUGAUGUUCGAAAGGGGGCGUGGUUAGUAAAGGGCGUGUCCCGAUGGGCGUGGCCGUGAAAUCUGAUCUAUGAGGUUUUGAGUGAAGCGUAGCUUGUGUGGUAGUUCAGAAGGGGUGUGUCUUAGGAAGGUUGAAAGGGCGUGUUCUGGAAGUUCGAAAGGGCAGGCUGUUCAGAGAACAUGUUUACAGUUGAGGAAAUCUGUUCUUUUUUUACAUAUAGUAAGACACACCCCUCUCCCAAUCCAGUAAAUCACGCCCCCUUCAUCUCUCCAAUAAGCUACGCUCCUUUCAAGCUCCUGCUGUAAGCAACGCCCUUUUGCCCACCCCAAUAACCUACGUCUUUACGUUAAAUAUAAUAAUUUUUUUUAUCCUCAUAUUAUUCUUAAAUGAAGGGGAAGAAACUUGAAAUUCAAGAUCUGAAAUUUCAUUUCUUUGAUCUCGUUUCUUGAAAAGAACAUUGUAUAGUAAAUUAUAAUAACAAAAACUGAUCCGGAGGACACAUUUAUCCUGUUUGAUUUUUUUUUUAUUCUACUGAUUUCCAUAUUCCAUAUUCGUGUAUUCGUUUUAUAAUAGAACAGUAAUAUUAAUUGUUCUGAUAGGUUUCAUUAAGUUUUGUCAAUCAUUCCAAAAUUAAGAUAAUAAAUAAAGUGAAUAAAUACAUUAUAAUCAUAGCAAAUAUCUUGCAGUAUUUACAAGGCCAAAUAUCUCUGUGUUGCACGUUUGCGGAUCUUGCUUUUAGCUGUCGUAAGAAUAUAAAUGCGAAUGAGCGAUUGUUUUUAUCAGUUCUAAAUGUAUAUGAAAGAAAUGAUAUACUCUUUGCAUCCUGCAUAAUCGUAUCGAUUAUUCAUGCUAAGAGAAUAAUUGAUUAAUAUUUGCAUGUCUUUAUGAUUUGUCCAAUGUAUGUAAUUAUGUAAAAUUUUUCUUUCUCUUUUUUUUUUUAUUAAUAAGCUUCUUAACUCGUGCUAAAUUAUGCGUUUUUAAAAAUUUCUUUUUAAUGCUAUUAAUCACAAUUGUAUUUCUUAUACAAUUUUACGUAAGAUUGAUUACAUUGAUUGGUCAUUAAAUUUGAAUCGAAAUAAGCAUAUUUAUUUAAUAAUAUAAUACAAUUUUUUCCUCGGUAGUCUUUAGAAGAAAAAUUUCUCUAAUCCAACAUGCAUCGUGUAUGAUAAACUAAUUAGAAGUGACAUAAAUUGGAACUAUUCUUUACCUCUAAGUGUCACAAGAAUGCGGAUGUGGGGAAAGCCAUAAUCAGCUUAUUUCACAAGGUGUACGAGAGCAUCAGGAAAGAAACCUUUUAUUUAUGUGUAAAAUUACGUUCUAGGGUCAACAUAAACUAUGACAUAUAAAUCUGCUAUUUUGACGUUUAUAAUAGUAUCAAUAUCUCUCUCAGGAUUUAUAUUAUAUAAAAAUGUAAGAAAAUUUUCAUUAUUCUCAAUCAAAGUAAUGAAAAUGAAUAAAAAG